UGGGGAAUAUUGCACAAUGGGCGCAAGCCUGAUGCAGCCAUGCCGCGUGUGUGAAGAAGGCCUUCGGGUUGUAAAGCACUUUCAGCGAGGAGGAAGGUGGUGAGCUUAAUACGCUCAUCAAUUGACGUUACUCGCAGAAGAAGCACCGGCUAACUCCGUGCCAGCAGCCGCGGUAAUACGGAGGGUGCAAGCGUUAAUCGGAAUUACUGGGCGUAAAGCGCACGCAGGCGGUUUGUUAAGUCAGAUGUGAAAUCCCCGGGCUCAACCUGGGAACUGCAUUUGAAACUGGCAAGCUAGAGUCUCGUAGAGGGGGGUAGAAUUCCAGGUGUAGCGGUGAAAUGCGUAGAGAUCUGGAGGAAUACCGGUGGCGAAGGCGGCCCCCUGGACGAAGACUGACGCUCAGGUGCGAAAGCGUGGGGCAGCAAACAGGAUUAGAUACCCUGGUAGUCCACGCUGUAAAACGAUGUCGAUUUUGGAGGUUGUGCCCUUGAGGCGUGGCUUCCGGAGCUAACGCGUUAAAUCGACCGCCUGGGGAGUACGGCCGCAAGGUUAAAACUCAAAGGAAUUG
rnacentral:rRNA from 1 species